GAAGCCGAUGAAGGACGUUACUAACGACGAUAUGCUUUGGGGAGCUGUAAGUAAGCUUUGAUCCAGAGAUUUCCGAAUGGGGAAACCCAGCAUGAGUUAUGUCAUGUUAUCGAUAUGUGAAUACAUAGCAUAUCAGAAGGCACACCCGGAGAACUGAAACAUCUUAGUACCCGGAGGAAGAGAAAGAAAAUUCGAUUCCCUUAGUAGCGGCGAGCGAAACGGGAAGAGCCCAAACCAACAAGCUUGCUUGUUGGGGUUGUAGGACACUCUAUACGGAGUUACAAAGGACGACAUUAGACGAAUCAUCUGGAAAGAUGAAUCAAAGAAGGUAAUAAUCCUGUAGUCGAAAAUGUUGUCUCUCUUGAGUGGAUCCUGAGUACGACGGAGCACGUGAAAUUCCGUCGGAAUCUGGGAGGACCAUCUCCUAAGGCUAAAUACUCUCUAGUGACCGAUAGUGAACCAGUACCGUGAGGGAAAGGUGAAAAGCACCCCGGAAGGGGAGUGAAAUAGAACCUGAAACCGUGUGCUUACAAGUAGUCAGAGCCCGUUAAUGGGUGAUGGCGUGCCUUUUGUAGAAUGAACCGGCGAGUUACGAUUUGAUGCAAGGUUAAGCAGUAAAUGUGGAGCCGUAGCGAAAGCGAGUCUGAAUAGGGCGUUUAGUAUUUGGUCGUAGACCCGAAACCAGGUGAUCUACCCUUGGUCAGGUUGAAGUUCAGGUAACACUGAAUGGAGGACCGAACCGACUUACGUUGAAAAGUGAGCGGAUGAACUGAGGGUAGCGGAGAAAUUCCAAUCGAACCUGGAGAUAGCUGGUUCUCUCCGAAAUAGCUUUAGGGCUAGCCUCAAGUGAUGAUUAUUGGAGGUAGAGCACUGUUUGGACGAGGGGCCCCUCUCGGGUUACCGAAUUCAGACAAACUCCGAAUGCCAAUUAAUUUAACUUGGGAGUCAGAACAUGGGUGAUAAGGUCCGUGUUCGAAAGGGAAACAGCCCAGACCACCAGCUAAGGUCCCAAAAUAUAUGUUAAGUGGAAAAGGAUGUGGCGUUGCCCAGACAACUAGGAUGUUGGCUUAGAAGCAGCCAUCAUUUAAAGAGUGCGUAAUAGCUCACUAGUCGAGUGACACUGCGCCGAAAAUGUACCGGGGCUAAACAUAUUACCGAAGCUGUGGAUUGUCCUUUGGACAAUGGUAGGAGAGCGUUCUAAGGGCGUUGAAGCAUGAUCGUAAGGACAUGUGGAGCGCUUAGAAGUGAGAAUGCCGGUGUGAGUAGCGAAAGACGGGUGAGAAUCCCGUCCACCGAUUGACUAAGGUUUCCAGAGGAAGGCUCGUCCGCUCUGGGUUAGUCGGGUCCUAAGCUGAGGCCGACAGGCGUAGGCGAUGGAUAACAGGUUGAUAUUCCUGUACCACCUAUAAUCGUUUUAAUCGAUGGGGGGACGCAGUAGGAUAGGCGAAGCGUGCGAUUGGAUUGCACGUCUAAGCAGUAAGGCUGAGUAUUAGGCAAAUCCGGUACUCAUUAAGGCUGAGCUGUGAUGGGGAGAAGACAUUGUGUCUUCGAGUCGUUGAUUUCACACUGCCGAGAAAAGCCUCUAGAUAGAAAAUAGGUGCCCGUACCGCAAACCGACACAGGUAGUCAAGAUGAGAAUUCUAAGGUGAGCGAGCGAACUCUCGUUAAGGAACUCGGCAAAAUGACCCCGUAACUUCGGGAGAAGGGGUGCUCUUUAGGGUUAACGCCCAGAAGAGCCGCAGUGAAUAGGCCCAAGCGACUGUUUAUCAAAAACACAGGUCUCUGCUAAACCGUAAGGUGAUGUAUAGGGGCUGACGCCUGCCCGGUGCUGGAAGGUUAAGAGGAGUGGUUAGCUUCUGCGAAGCUACGAAUCGAAGCCCCAGUAAACGGCGGCCGUAACUAUAACGGUCCUAAGGUAGCGAAAUUCCUUGUCGGGUAAGUUCCGACCCGCACGAAAGGCGUAACGAUUUGGGCACUGUCUCAACGAGAGACUCGGUGAAAUCAUAGUACCUGUGAAGAUGCAGGUUACCCGCGACAGGACGGAAAGACCCCGUGGAGCUUUACUGUAGCCUGAUAUUGAAAUUCGGCACAGCUUGUACAGGAUAGGUAGGAGCCUUUGAAACGUGAGCGCUAGCUUACGUGGAGGCGCUGGUGGGAUACUACCCUAGCUGUGUUGGCUUUCUAACCCGCACCACUUAUCGUGGUGGGAGACAGUGUCAGGCGGGCAGUUUGACUGGGGCGGUCGCCUCCUAAAAGGUAACGGAGGCGCUCAAAGGUUCCCUCAGAAUGGUUGGAAAUCAUUCAUAGAGUGUAAAGGCAUAAGGGAGCUUGACUGCGAGACCUACAAGUCGAGCAGGGUCGAAAGACGGACUUAGUGAUCCGGUGGUUCCGCAUGGAAGGGCCAUCGCUCAACGGAUAAAAGCUACCCCGGGGAUAACAGGCUUAUCUCCCCCAAGAGUUCACAUCGACGGGGAGGUUUGGCACCUCGAUGUCGGCUCAUCGCAUCCUGGGGCUGUAGUCGGUCCCAAGGGUUGGGCUGUUCGCCCAUUAAAGCGGUACGCGAGCUGGGUUCAGAACGUCGUGAGACAGUUCGGUCCCUAUCCGUCGUGGGCGUAGGAAAUUUGAGAGGAGCUGUCCUUAGUACGAGAGGACCGGGAUGGACAUACCUCUGGUGUACCAGUUGUCGUGCCAACGGCAUAGCUGGGUAGCUAUGUGUGGACGGGAUAAGUGCUGAAAGCAUCUAAGCAUGAAGCCCCCCUCAAGAUGAGAUUUCCCAACUUCGGUUAUAAGAUCCCUCAAAGAUGAUGAGGUUAAUAGGUUCGAGGUGGAAGCAUGGUGACAUGUGGAGCUGACGAAUACUAA
rnacentral:rRNA from 1 species